UACGUAGGUGGCGAGCGUUGUCCGGAUUUACUGGGCGUAAAGAGCGCGCAGGCGGUCGUUCAAGUCGCGUGUGAAAGCCCCCGGCUCAACUGGGGAGGGUCACGCGAUACUGAUCGACUCGAAGGCAGGAGAGGGAAGUGGAAUUCCCGGUGUAGUGGUGAAAUGCGUAGAUAUCAAGAGGAACACCUGAGGUGAAGACGGGUUGCUGGGCUGAUACUGACGCUGAGGCGCGAAAGCUAGGGUAGCAAACGGG
rnacentral:rRNA from 1 species